rnacentral:rRNA from 1 species
AGUUAGAAAUGACUGCUAAUACCGCAUAAGCGCACAGUGCUGCAUGGCACAGUGUGAAAAACUACCGGUGGUAUGAGAUGGACCCGCGUCUGAUUAGCUAGUUGGUGGGGUAACGGCCUACCAAGGCGACGAUCAGUAGCCGGCCUGAGAGGGUGAACGGCCACAUUGGGACUGAGACACGGCCCAAACUCCUACGGGAGGCAGCAUG